GAUGAAGAACGUAGCGAAAUGCGAUAAGUAGUGUGAAUUGCAGAAUUCAGUGAAUCAUCGAAUCUUUGAACGCACAUUGCGCCCCUUGGUAUUCCAUGGGGCAUGCCUGUUCGAGCGUCAUUUGUACCUUCAAGCUUUGCUUGGUGUUGGGUGUUUGUCUCGCCUUUGCGUGUAGACUCGCCUUAAAAUAAUUGGCAGCCGGCGUAUUGAUUUCGGAGCGCAGUACAUCUCGCGCUUUGCACUCAUAACGACAGCGUCCAAAAGUACAUUUUACACUCUUGACCUCGGAUCAGGUAGGGAUACCCGCUGAACUUAAGCAUAUCAAUAACCGGAGGA
rnacentral:misc_RNA from 1 species